rnacentral:rRNA from 1 species
UACGUAGGGGGCAAGCGUUGUCCGGAUUUAUUGGGCGUAAAGAGCGUGUAGGCGGCCAAGCAGGUCAGCUGUGAAAACUCGAGGCUCAACCUCGAGACGUCGGUUGAAACCGCUUGGCUAGAGUCCGGAAGAGGAGAGUGGAAUUCCCGGUGUAGCGGUGAAAUGCGCAGAUAUCGGGAAGAACACCCGUGGCGAAGGCGGCUCUCUGGGACGGUACUGACGCUGAGACGCGAAAGCUAGGGGAGCAAACAGG